CCUACGGGUGGUAGCAGUGAGGAAUAUUGGUCAAUGGACGAGAGUCUGAACCAGCCAAGUAGCGUGAAGGAUGACUGCCCUAUGGGUUGUAAACUUCUUUUAUAAAGGAAUAAAACGAGGCACGUGUGCCUUUUUGCAUGUACUUUAUGAAUAAGGAUCGGCUAACUCCGUGCCAGCAGCCGCGGUAAUACGGAGGAUCCGAGCGUUAUCCGGAUUUAUUGGGUUUAAAGAGUUCGUAGGUGGCACGUUAAGUCUGGUGUUAAAGGCGGAAGCUCAACUUCCGUAGGGCACUGGAUACUGGCGAGCUUGAAUGCGGUAGAGGUAAAGGGAAUUCCUGGUGUAGCGGUGAAAUGCGUAGAUAUCAGGAGGAACAUCGGUGGCGUAAGCGCUUUACUGGGCCGUAAUUGACACUGAGGAACGAAAGCCGGGGUAGCAAAUGGGAUUAGAUACCCUGGUAGUC
rnacentral:rRNA from 1 species